rnacentral:SRP_RNA from 1 species
GCUCGGGCCCUGUGCAUCGGCCGGGAGCCGAACCUCGUCAGGCCCGGAAGGGAGCAGCGAUAAGGCGCCACGGCCGAGUGCCGCAGUCCGCCUGAGCCCU